GAUGAAGAACGCAGCGAAAUGCGAUAAGUAAUGUGAAUUGCAGAAUUCAGUGAAUCAUCGAAUCUUUGAACGCAUCUUGCGCUCCUUGGUAUUCUGAGGAGCAUGCCUGUUUGAGUGUCAUUAAAUUCUCAACUACACUGACUUUGAAUUGGUGUGGCUUGGAUUUGGGGGGAAAAUUGUUGUGGGCUUUUUGUAUAGUCUGCUCCCCUGAAAUUGAUUAGCGGUACCUUUGUGGAACUGUCUACAGGUGUGAUAAUUAUCUACAUCUUAGACAUCUGCUGGAAUGCUGCUUUCUAAACCUUACUUGUAUUGACAAUCAUGACCUCAAAUCAGGUAGGACUACCCGCUGAACUUAAGCAUAUCAAUAAGCGGAGGA
rnacentral:misc_RNA from 1 species